UACGUAGGAGGCAAGCGUUAUCCGGAGUUACUGGGCGUAAAGGGCGUGUAGGCGGUUUCGUAAGUCUGGCGUGAAAUUUCUCGGCUUAACCGAGGCAGGUCGUCGGAUACUGCGGGACUUGAGGACGGUAGAGGCGUGUGGAAUUCCGGGUGUAGUGGUGAAAUGCGUAGAGAUCCGGAGGAACACCAGUGGCGAAGGCGACACGCUGGGCCGUACCUGACGCUGAUGCGCGACAGCAUGGGGAGCAAACAGG
rnacentral:rRNA from 1 species